GAAAAAGUGUUGGAUUUCAAGGGAUUAAGCUAAUAAAGAUGGUGAAUCCUCCGAUAAAGGCAAGAAAAUUGUACCCGAGGAUCGGUAGUCAGAGUACUCUAGAAAUUCGACUCCCGAAAUAGUUUAGAUUAGGCUGUAGAUAGCUGAGUUCAUCGAGGAC
rnacentral:sRNA from 1 species